GACGAACGCUGGCGGCGUGCUUAACACAUGCAAGUCGAACGGGCCUUGUCCCCUUUUUUUUUGGGGGUGGGGUUAGUGGCGAACGGGUGAGUAACACGUGAGUAACCUGCCCCUCACUUCUGGAUAACCGCUUGAAAGGGUGGCUAAUACGGGGUGUUCUGGCCUGCUCGCAUGGGUGGGUUUGGAAAGAUUCGACCGGUUUUGGUUGUUUUGGUGGGGGAUGGGCUCGCGGCCUAUCAGCUUGUGGGUGGGGGGAUGGCCUGCCAAGGCUUUGACGGGUAGCCGGCCUGAGGGGGUGGGCGGUCACACUGGGACUGAGACACGGCCCAGACUCCUACGGGAGGCAGCAGUGGGGAAUAUUGCACAAUGGGCGCAAGCCUGAUGCAGCGACGCCGCGUGAGGGAUGGAGGCCUUCGGGUUGUGAACCUCUUUCGCCAGUGAAGAAGGUCCUGCUCUUUGUGGUGGGGUUGACGGUAGCUGGGUUAAUGAAGCGCCGGCUAACUACGUG
rnacentral:rRNA from 1 species